UAAUUAUCUCUCCAGUCAUGUGAAGCAGAGGAUUGUAGGUCCGGGUAAAUUAAGCAGCUAAAGGUCUAUACAUAUAUUCACAAAAGAAUUGAUCGAAAGAUAGAAGGUGAUUCAAUCAGAGAGUACAACCACAGAACACAAAGAAGUAGCAAAGCAUGGCAACUAAAGCCACGGAUUCCAACAUCGUAACAAAAGUCCAUACCACAUCAUCGAUGGAGAAAUCGAACAACCGGAAGCUCUGUAGGCUCCACCCCGUUGUGAAAUACGAAAAAUCAAACUCCGGCCACCGAAAGAUUGAUGUCGGCAGUGAAAAUCCGAGUUCCGGCCAUCGAAAAGCCGGCGCAUACCACCUUGUACACAUAUCCCGUUCAGUGACCUCUCUUUCUCUGCACUCCAAUGGAGCAAAUUAACGGUUAUGCGAUACUCUCCGGUAAUGUCAGAAAUAUGG
rnacentral:misc_RNA from 1 species